UUCCGAGGCUGCCACAAUAAACAUGCACUGUACAAUGCUUCUUGGUGUUCUUCUCCCAACAGUUUGUAUAUGUAAGUAAUGUCAUCAUUCAGGUUUGAAUGAAUGGAGUAUGUUCAAAUACUGCAAUUAAUAUUUGGUUCACCUGUCUCAUUUUCUGAUUCACAUAGUUCUUUUUUUCCACACUAUAGUUCUGUGAUAAUAACAACUGGACAUGAUCAGACUUUCCUUGUUACCAGUGUAAAAUAAUCAGUGUUUUCUAACAAUUAUAUUAUUUACCAUUUCAUGUAUGCGUGACAGUGUUCUGAUGUUCUGUUUAUCUUGCAGAUUUGGUCUAUGGGCAGAAAGUCACCCAGUCAUCCUCUGAACUGACAGUGGAUGAAGGCAGAGAGGCUGAGUUAUCCUGUAGUACUGACAUAGCAGCUACCUAUAUGGCUUGGUACAUACAGAAGCCUGGACAAACACUGCAUUAUCUCAUUCAGGGUUUAACAAAAGCAGAAGAUAUGACUGGAGACUUCAAGGGUCGCCUCACACACAACUAUGACAGAACUAAAAAGCAGUUUCCAAUUACUCUCUCUAAACUGAGAAUCUCUGACUCUGGAACAUAUUACUGUGCUAUGGAAC